rnacentral:rRNA from 1 species
AUCCGUUGAAAAGGGUGGCGAUGAGGUGUGGGUAGGGGAGAAAUUCCAAUCGAACUCGGAGAUAGCUGGUUCUCCCCGAAAUAGCUUUAGGGCUAGCGUUAUGUUAGAUUACCGGAGGUAAAGCACUGAAUGGUAGCGGGGCCGAUAAGGUUACCAACGCCUAUCAAACUAAGAAUGCCGGCUAAUUGAUGCAUAGCAGUCAGACAGUGUGAGAUAAGUUUCAUUGUCAAAAGGGAAACAGCCCAGACCUACAGCUAAGGUCCCGAAUAGAUGCUAAGUGGAAAACGAUGUGGAGUUGCGAAAACAACCAGGAUGUUGGCUUAGAAGCAGCCACUCAUUAAAAGAGUGCGUAAUAGCUCACUGGUCGAGUGACUCUGCGCCGAAAAUUUAACGGGGCUAAACUAUACACCGAAGCUUGGGAUACAUCUAAUGUAUGGUAGGAGAGCGUUCUGUAUGGGGAGAAGUCGUAGCGAAAGCGGCGGUGGACUAUACAGAAGUGAGAAUGCCGGAAUAAGUAGCGAGAAUUAAGUGAGAAUCUUAAUGGCCGAAAGUCUAAGGUUUUUGGAGGAAGGUUCGUCCGCUCCAAGUAAGUCGGGAGCUAAGGUCAGGCCGAAAGGCGUAGCCGAUGCACAUACGGUUGAUAUUCCGUAACCAUCUGUAAUUUAAGCAAAGGGACACUUCAAAAGGGUGUGACCCGGGCGUUGGUUGACCCGGGCGUAAGGGACCGAAAUUAGAGUAGGGAAGCACACUUAGCUGAAGGCGAGAAAAGCUUUGCGUAUAGAAACAGAUGCCCGUACCGCAAACCGACACAGGUGGACAGGAAGAGAAUUCUAAGGCCAGCGGGAGAAGGGUAGUUAAGGAACUCGGCAAAUUGACUCCGUAACUUCGGAAUAAGGAGUGCUCGAAAGAGCCGCAGAGAAUAGGCCCAGGCGACUGUUUAGCAAAAACACAGGUCUCUGCCAAAUCGAAAGAUGAAGUAUAGGGGCUGACACCUGCCCGGUGCCGGAAGGUUAAGAGGAGGAGUGAGAGCUCCGAAUUGAAGCCCCGGUAAACGGCGGCCGUAACUAUAACGGUCCUAAGGUAGCGAAAUUCCUUGUCGGGUAAGUUCCGACCUGCACGAAAGGCGCAACGACUUGGGCGCUGUCUCGACCAUGGACCCGGUGAAAUUGCACUGGUCGUGAAGAUGCGACUUACCCGCGGAAGGACGGAAAGACCCCGUGAACCUUCACUGCAGCUUGGCAUUGGCCGCUGGUCCCGCGUGUAGAGGAUAGGCAGGAGGCGAAGAUCCGGAGGCGCCAGCCCCCGGGGAGCCGCCCUUGGAAUACUGCCCUCGCGCGACCGGCGUCCUAACCCGAGGCCGUCAACCGGCUCGGGGACCGUGCCAGGCGGGCAGUUUGACUGGGGCGGUCGCCUCCUAAAGGGUAACGGAGGCGCGCGAAGGUCCGCUCGGGACGGUCGGCAACCGUCCUUUUGAAUGCAAGAGUACAAGCGGGCUUGACUGCGAGGCCCACAAGCCGAGCAGGUGCGAAAGCAGGCUCUAGUGAUCCGGCGGCCCCGAGUGGGUGGGCCGUCGCUCAACGGAUAAAAGGUACUCCGGGGAUAACAGGCUGAUCUUGCCCA